CCGUGGGACACCCUUCCCCAACGAAGGGCCAGCUAUCUGGAAGGAUAGAUUAU
rfam:Ahrensia sp. R2A130 contig00024, whole genome shotgun sequence.